GGAGGCCUUCGGGUUGUAAACCUCUUUUAUCGGGGAGCAAGCGUGAGUGAGUUUACCCGUUGAAUAAGCACCGGCUAACUACGUGCCAGCAGCCGCGGUAAUACGUAGGGCGCGAGCGUUGUCCGGAUUUAUUGGGCGUAAAGGGCUUGUAGGCGGUUUGUCGCGCCUGUCGUGUAAUCCUCUGGCUUAACUGGGGGUGUGCGGUGGGUACGGGCAGGCUUGAGUGCGGUAGGGGAGAUUGGAAUUCCUGGUGUAGCGGUGGAAUGCGCAGAUAUCAGGAGGAACACCGGUGGCGAAGGCGGGUCUCUGGGCCGUUACUGACGCUGAGGAGCGAAAGCGUGGGGAGCGAACAGGAUUAGAUACCCUGGUAGUCCAUGCUGUAAACGUUGGGCACUAGGUGUGGGGGCCGCCCUUGGUUUCUGCGCCGUAGCUAACGCUUUAAGUGCCCCGCCUGGGGAGUACGGCCGCAAGGCUAAAACUCAAAGGAAUUGACGGGGGCCCGCACAAGCGGCGGAGCAUGCGGAUUAAUUCGAUGCAACGCGAAGAACCUUACCAAGGCUUGACAUGCGCCCUGAGCGCCUAGAGAUAGGUGUGCAUUUGGUUGGGGGUGUGCAGGUGGUGCAUGGUUGUCGUCAGCUCGUGUCGUGAGAUGUUGGGUUAAGUCCCGCAACGAGCGCAACCCUUGCCCUAUGUUGCCAGCGCGUUAUGGUGGGGACUCGUGGGGGACUGCCGGGGUUAACUCGGAGGAAGGUGGGGAUGACGUCAAAUCAUCAUGCCCCUUAUGUCUUGGGCUUCACGCAUGCUACAAUGGCAGGUACAGAGGGUUGCGAUGCUGUGAGGUGGAGCGAAUCCUUUAAAGCUUGUCUCAGUUCGGAUCGGGGUCUGCAAUUCGACCUCGUGAAGGUGGAGUCGCUAGUAAUCGCAGAUCAGCUACGCUGCGGUGAAUACGUUCUCGGGCCUUGUACACACCGCCCGUCACGUCACGAAAGUUGGUAACACCCGAAGCUUGUGGCUUAACCUUUUUGGGGGGAGCAGGUGACGGUGGGAUUGGCGAUUGGGACGAAGUCGUAACAAGGUAGGCGUACCGGAAGGUGCGGCUG
rnacentral:rRNA from 1 species